GGGCGUGUGGCUCAGUUGGUAGAGCGUUCGCUUAGCAUACUUGUAAUCUCCUGAUUAUCAGGGAUUUCUAUUGUAUGCGAAAGGUCCUGGGUUCGAUUCCCAGCUCGUCCA